rnacentral:rRNA from 1 species
UGGCUACAGAACGAACGCUGGCGGCAGGCCUCAAACAUGCAAGUCUAGGGGGUGUAGCAAUACAUCACCGGCGGACGGGUGCGUAACGCGUGGGAAUAUACCUAUCGAUUCGGAACAACUGAGGGAAACUUCAGCUAAUACCGAAUACGUCCUAACGGAGAAAGAUUUAUCGUCGAUAGAUUAGCCCGCGUUCGAUUAGCUAGUUGGUGGGGUAACGGCCCACCAAGGCGACGAUCGAUAGCUGUUCUGAGAGGAAGAUCAGCCACACUGGGACUGAGACACGGCCCAGACUCCUACGGGAGGCAGCAGUUGGGAAUCUUGGACAAUGGGGGAAACCCUGAUCCAGCCAUGCCGCGUGAGUGAUGAAGGCCUUCGGGUUGUAAAACUCUUUCGCGCACGACGAUAAUGACGGUAGUGCGAGAAGAAGCUCCGGCUAACUUCGUG